GUACACUCCUGCGGGAGGCAGCAGUGGGGAAUAUUGCACAAUGGGCGCAAGCCUGAUGCAGCCAUGCCGCGUGUAUGAAGAAGGCCUUCGGGUUGUAAAGUACUUUCAGCGGGGAGGAAGGCGAUAAGGUUAAUAACCUUGUUGAUUGACGUUACCCGCAGAAGAAGCACCGGCUAACUCCGUGCCAGCAGCCGCGGUAAUACGGAGGGUGCAAGCGUUAAUCGGAAUUACUGGGCGUAAAGCGCACGCAGGCGGUCUGUCAAGUCGGAUGUGAAAUCCCCGGGCUCAACCUGGGAACUGCAUUCGAAACUGGCAGGCUAGAGUCUUGUAGAGGGGGGUAGAAUUCCAGGUGUAGCGGUGAAAUGCGUAGAGAUCUGGAGGAAUACCGGUGGCGAAGGCGGCCCCCUGGACAAAGACUGACGCUCAGGUGCGAAAGCGUGGGGAGCAAACAGGAUUAGAUACCCUUGUAGUCCCAU
rnacentral:rRNA from 1 species